rnacentral:rRNA from 1 species
CCCUUAGAUGUUCUGGGCUGCACGCGCGCUACACUGAUGCGCUCAACGAGUUUAUAACCUUGUCCGGCAGGAUUGGGUAAUCUUUUUAAAACGCAUCGUGAUGGGGAUAGAUUAUUGCAAUUAUUAAUCUUCAACGAGGAAUGCCUAGUAGGCGCAAGUCAUCAGCUUGCGUCGAUUACGUCCCUGCCCUUUGUACACACCGCCCGUCGCUCCUACCGAUUGGGUGUGCUGGUGAAAUGUUCGGAUCGGCCGUUUGUCGCGGUUUCCGCGUCAUGUGGCUGAGAAGUUCAUUAAACCCUCCCACCUAGAGGAAGGAGAAGUCGUAACA